rnacentral:lncRNA from 1 species
CUCAGAAGCCUAGAAUCCCAGAGAACCCUAGAACUCCAGAGGCUAUAAUGCUUGAGAAGCCUAGAACACUGGAGAAGCCUAGAACACUGGAGAAGCCGAGAAUCCCAGACAACCCUAGAACUCCAGAGGCUAUAAUGAUAGAGAAGCCUAGAACACUGGAGAAGCCUAGAACACUGGAGAAUCCCAGAACACUGGAGAAGCCCAGAACACUGGAGAAGCCCAGAACACUGGAGCAGCCCAGAACACUGGAGAAGCCUAGAACACUGGAGAAGCCCAGAACACUGGAGAGGCCUAGAACCCCAGAAAAGCCUAAAGUGGUUGUUCUCUCUAGGCCACUGAGAGCAGUGGUUUUAAGUUCUAGCUCUCCUGCUGAGAACAGAGAACCAGCGUUACAGAACGGAGAACACACGCCUCGACAGGAGACCACACCCUGCCUCACCAACGGCCAACUAGAGCACUCAGCGUGUGCAAACACACUCACACACUCCCCUGCUACCCCCUCCUCCACCCCCCGCAAAGAGAAGCCUCCCAUUGCCCUAAAAAACCCUAAACUAUCCCUACUGAGGACACACCAGACAGACACACCAACCCCACCACCCGUACUCACAGGUACACCUCCACAGCCCUUUGUCCCAGAGACACCACCCUUUCUGGGGAUAAAAUUGGCACAGACAGAGUCCCAGACAGAGACCCAGCCAAAGCCAAAGCCUGAAUUCCCCUUCCUGAAACGCCACCAGUCAGAAUACUAUGUAGCGGAGUUACCACCAAGGCCCUCUCCUCCAGCACCCUGUGUACCAGAGUUACCACCAAGGCCCUCUCCUCCAGCAUCCUGUGUACCAGAGCCACAGCAGGAGUCCUGUCCACUGGAGAUGAAGACAUACACAGAGACAGAAGCAGAGACAAAGGUAGAAUGUGGCUCUGUGCCAAUCACAGAGCUGGGGAGAUCAGAACCUGAACCAGAUGAGAUAUGGGUGAUGCAGGAGGAAGAAGAGAAGGAAGAGAAAGAAGAGAGAGAGAAUGCGCACAUCACACUGAUGCUGGGGAGGAGAGAGGAGGAGGACAGACAGAGGGGAGCCAUUGAGGAGGACAGCAGAGAUUCUGGAAGUUUCUCUCUGGAAGAGAACAGAGACGCCCUUAGCAGUGCACUGUCAAUUGAAGAGGGGGAACUGGAGGAGGAGAGGAUGGAAUGGGAGAAGAGGGAACAGAGGCGCAGCCUGGAGACAGACAGGGCCAGCAGCUCCACAGGAUCCCUGAGCUCCAGAGAGGACAACG